AUCCGGUUGACGAGUCCCAACUAGAACGAAACGCGCGUCAAACUGGAU
rfam:Schistosoma curassoni strain Dakar, Senegal genome assembly, scaffold: SCTD_scaffold0000047